UAAUAAUAAAAAUAAUAAUAAUAAUGAUGAUAAUAAUCAUAAUAAUGACAAUAAUAACAAUAAUUUACAGUGAAAGCAGAGCAGAGGGCUGAAGACAUUGGAAGCAGGCUGAAAAGACACCUACUGAGACAUAAAAGGACAUGGAUAUGAAGCCUCUGAUGAUUCUCCUCCUGCUAGCAGUUGCAGCAAACUUGCAAGGAAUCCCCACCACCACUCCUGCAGCAGCUGCUACCACCACCACCCCUGCAGCAGCUGUCACCACCACCACUCCUGCAGCAGCUGUCACCACCACCACCGCUGCAGCAGCUGUCACCACCACCACUCCUGCAGCAGCUGUCACCACCACGACUCCUGCAGCAGCUGUCACCACCACCACUCCUGCAGCAGCUGU